rnacentral:rRNA from 1 species
GAUGAACGCUGGCGGCGUGCCUAAUACAUGCAAGUCGAGCGAACAGACGAUGCGCUUGCUCCUCUCACGUUAGCGGCGGACGGGUGAGUAACACGUGUAUAACCUACUUAUAAGACUGGGAUCAUCUCGGGAAACCGGAGCUAAUACCGGAUAAUAUACUGCACCGCAUGGUUCAAUAGUGAAUGACGGUUUUGCUGUCACUACUAGAUGGAUCUGGGCUGCAUUAGCUAGUUGGUAAGGUAAUGGGUUAGCAAGGCAACGAGGCGUAGCCGACCUGAGAGACUGAUAGCCCGCCCUAGAGCGUGGACACGCUCCAGACGACUGAGAGAGGCAGCAGUAGGGAAUCGUACGCAGUGGGCGAAAACCUGGCGGAACGACGGGGAGUGAGUGAUGAAAGUCUUCGGAUCGUAAUGCUCUGUUACGAGUGAAGAACAAAUGUGUAAGUAACUAUGCAGGUAUUGACGGUAACUAGUAAGGAAGCCACGGCUAACUACGUG